rnacentral:rRNA from 1 species
UACGAAGGGGGCUAGCGUUGCUCGGAAUUACUGGGCGUAAAGCGCACGUAGGCGGCUUUCUAAGUCGGGGGUGAAAUCCUGGAGCUCAACUCCAGAACUGCCUUCGAUACUGGAGAGCUCGAGUCCGGAAGAGGCGAGUGGAAUUCCUGGUGUAGCGGUGAAAUGCGCAGAUAUCAGGAGGAACACCGAUGGCGAAGGCAGCUCGCUGGGACGGUACUGACGCUGAGGCGCGAAAGCGUGGGGAGCAAACAGG